CCAAUUUUUCUAACUGAUAAUUUUUUUUCUUUUAAGGAACUUUCUUGCUUCCACCUGAGAGCCCUGGGAGAAAACAUCAGUACUCAGCAAAACAGAAACAAUGAACAUGAGGAAUAAUAUUUUGUACUCUGAGUCCUGCAGAAGUCUCUGAGGGAACGUGUAAGGCACAGCAGCAAAAAGGGACACAGAGAAUGCCUUCAUGAGCUGCCCUGGUACUGACACAUGGAUGGAAACAAGAUUGUAAAACAAGAUUGUUGCUUCAGGAAAAUUCAUUAUUUAACAACUUCACACAUGUGGUCCAGGAAUAUCUUCCCAAGGCUUGGUUAUUUGCAGAAUAGGAAGACUCAGGCAGGCUUGCUUUGUAUCAUAUCAGCCCAUUCCCAGUCACAUUGACGAGAUCAAAAGGGGAUCUAUCUGAUCCAGCCCGUCCGACUGAGCUCCUUCUUCUACUCCAAAUCCCUUCUGAGUUGGGGCUAAAAGUCUGGGUCUGUUGGCACUAGACCCAUAGGUCAUACAGACUGGGAAGACUGAGGCUGCUAUUUCUGAGUGGUCUUGAUGGGCAACAUGCAAACUUCAGAGGCUGGUCUGUAGACACCGGAAGAGAAGCAGAGAGGAGAGACUUGGUUUCUCCAGUGAAAGCGCAGGAGACAGCAAGCACGCAUGGUUCUUGCCCCCAUUUUCCUGUUCUUCUCACCCAGGAGAUUGCCUUUUGCAUCUUACCCUUAUUUGGAGCUAGUUUGGUUUUCUUGUCCUUACAACUAAAAGACCCUUGACUAAGAUACACAACAUUAUCUAUAAUGUUGAAUACUUAACUCAACUUUGGACAAUUUCACUUUGGAAUACCUGGACCACAGGUUUACCUGGAACCAUGAAGCUCUAGAAAGAAGAGUCCAUUUAUACAUGGUUUUGCUUUAUAUAAUGACAGGAUUAUAAAUGUCUUUCCUAUCAACUAAAGGUCACCUCCUCAAAACACAAAAAUAAAUUCUCACUGAAUUAAAUAUUAAUUUUUGUAUAGGUGUGAAAACUCUAAACUGACAAUUCUAAAUUGUCAACUUUUAAAAAUGAUUCUUCCCUCUAGCUUUUUUUUUCAAUAAUUUCAUUCAAUAAGGCACUAGCUCUCAAAUUUUCAAGAUUCAUAAUGUUCAACUACCAAAUACAGGUGUUUGAUGUGUA